AACUUUUAGCAACGGAUCUCUUGGCUCUCGCAUCGAUGAAGAACGCAGCGAAAUGCGAUAAGUAAUGUGAAUUGCAGAAUUCAUUGAAUCAUCGAAUCUUUGAACGCACCUUGCGCCCCGUGGCUUUCCACGGGGAACGCCCGUUCGAGUGUCACUUUAACCCUCGCCAACGACGUAGCGAUACGCCGCGAAGCGAAGUUGGGAGUUGCCCGUCGUCACAUCAGCUCGCAUCGAACUGCAUUAGCGAAGUGCGAAGCACGUGCGACGUUGAUAUUCGUCUCCGCCUCAUGGACGGUGAUCCUCGCCUCCAAUCGUCGAGAGACAAUUUCAGCAAGGUUUGUCCUCGAAUCCGGCGGGACUACCCGCAGAUCUAUAGCAUAUCAAUAAGCGGAGGCU
rnacentral:misc_RNA from 1 species